rnacentral:tRNA from 1 species
GCCGAAGUGGCGAAAUGGCAGACGCAACCGACUCAAAAUCGGUCGACUGAAAGGUCAUGUGGGUUCGACUCCCACCUUCGGUACCA